GUAUUCUUCAUAUCCUUCUUUUGGUCAUCCUCGUCAUUGGGGCUGCCAUGGGAGUCCCAGGUAAACAAAGCCAACUCAAGAAGCCCUUCUACCAAAGAAGACGUAUUAACCUGCGACUCUACAAUAUGAGAAGGUUUCUGAUGGCUCAGAGGUACCGCUAUUUUGAUGAUGACAACUCAGACUUCGACAGAUACGACUUCUCCGAGAGUUGAGGCAAAAGACACGGAUAAAAAACACUGGAUACUUCAGCUGCUAGGCAAGGAACACGUCACAUCAGAUGAGACAUUUCCACCACAAAUUGCAUAUCAUCAUGUACUGCAGCAGUCUGGGUAACUUAGGUCGCUAUAGCGGCGAUAACAUAACUGUAAGUGUGAUGUUGAACUAAAACACUUUCGUUUU